rnacentral:rRNA from 1 species
CCUACGGGUGGCAGCAGUGGGGGAUAUUGCACAAUGGGGGAAACCCUGAUGCAGCGACGCCGCGUGAGUGAAGAAGUAUUUCGGUAUGUAAAGCUCUAUCAGCAGGGAAGAAAAAAGACGGUACCUGACUAAGAAGCCCGGCUAACUACGUGCCAGCAGCCGCGUGAAUACGUAGGGGGCAAGCGUUAUCCCGAUUUACUGGGUGUAAAGGGGGCGUUGACGGCAAUAACAGGCGGAAGUGAAAUACCCGGGCUAAACCUGGGAACUGCUUUGGAAACUGUAUGGCUGGAGUGCUGGAGAGGUAAGCGGAAUGCGUGGUGUAGCGGUGAAAUGCGUAGAUAUUAGGCGGAACACCAGUGGCGAAGGCGGCUUACUGGACACCAACUGACGUUGAGGCUCGAAAGCGUGGGGAGCAAACAGGAUUAGAUACCCCAGUAGUC